rnacentral:rRNA from 1 species
AUUGAACGCUGGCGGCAGGCCUAACACAUGCCAGUCGAGCGAUCGGCGGACGGGUGAGUAAUGUCUGGGAAACUGCCUGAUGGAGGGGGAUAACUACUGGAAACGUUAGCUCAUACCGCAUACCAUCAGAUGUGCCCAGAUGGGAUUAGCUAGUAGGUUGGGUAACGGCUCACCUAGGCGACGAUCCCUAGCUGGUCUGAGAGGAUGACCAGCCAGACGGGAACUGAGACACGGUCCAGAUUCCUACGGGAGGCAGGAGGGGGGAAUAUUGGACAAUGGGCGCAAGCCUGAUGCAGCCAUGCCGCGUGUAUGAAGAAGGCCUUCGGGUUGUAAAGUACUUUCAGCGGGGAGGCGUUACCCGCAGAAGAAGCACCGGCUAACUCCGUGCCAGCAGCCGCGGUAAUAC